GUCCUGGCCGUAAACGAUGGGCACUAGGUGUGGGAGGUAUCGACCCCUUCCGUGCCGCAGCUAACGCAAUAAGUGCCCCGCCUGGGAAGUACGGCCGCAAGGUUGAAACUCAAAAGGAAUUGACGGGGGCCCGCACAAGCGGUGGAGCAUGUGGUUUAAUUCGACGCAACGCGAAGAACCUUACCUGGGUUUGACAUCCUUCGGACAGGCUGCGAAAGCAGUUUUUCCCGCAAGGGACUGAAGGACAGGUGCUGCAUGGCUGUCGU
rnacentral:rRNA from 1 species